UAAAGCGGCGCACGGGUGAGUAACACGUGGAUGAUCUACCCUAUGGUGGGGAAUAACCCUGGGAAACUGGGGCUAAUACCGCAUAAGUUCGAGAGAAGAAAGCCGCAAGGCGCCAUUGGAGGAGUCCGCGGCCGAUUAGCUAGUUGGUGAGGUAAAAGCUCACCAAGGCGACGAUCGGUAGCCGGCCUGAGAGGGCACACGGCCACACUGGCACUGAAACACGGGCCAG
rnacentral:rRNA from 1 species